AGGACGAACGCUGGCGGCGUGCUUAACACAUGCAAGUCGAGCGGAAAGGCCCUUCGGGGUACUCGAGCGGCGAACGGGUGAGUAACACGUGAGCAACCUGCCCUUAGCUUCGGGAUAGCUCCGGGAAACCGGAAUUAAUACCGGAUAUGACUAUGGCCGACAUCAGCCAUGGUGGAAAGUUUUUCGGCUAGGGAUGGACUCGCGGCCUAUCAGCUAGUUGGUGAGGUAACGGCUCACCAAGGCGACGACGGGUAGCCGGCCUGAGAGGGCGACCAGCCACACCGGAACUGAGACACGGUCCGGACUCCUACGGGAGGCAGCAGUGGGGAAUAUUGGACAAUGGGGGAAACCCUGAUCCAGCGACGCCGCGUGUGUGAAGAAGGCCUGCGGGUUGUAAAGCACUUUUAGUGGGACAAAAAGCUACGGAUUAAUACUCUGUGGUCUUGAUUUAACCCAAAGAAAAGCAACCGGCUAACUCUGCGCCAGCAGCCGCGGUAA
rnacentral:rRNA from 1 species